CAAGCGUUAUCCGGAUUUAUUGGGUUUAAAGGGUGCGUAGGCGGUUUGAUAAGUUAGAGGUGAAAUACCGGGGCUUAACACCGGAACUGCCUCUAAUACUGUUGAACUAGAGAGUAGUUGCGGUAGGCGGAAUGUAUGGUGUAGCGGUGAAAUGCUUAGAGAUCAUACAGAACACCGAUUGCGAAGGCAGCUUACCAAACUAUAUCUGACGUUGAGGCACGAAAGCGUGGGGAGCAAACAGGAUUAGAUACCCUGGUAGUCCACGCAGUAAACGAUGAUAACUCGUUGUCGGCGAUACACAGUCGGUGACUAAGCGAAAGCGAUAAGUUAUCCACCUGGGGAGUACGUUCGCAAGAAUGAAACUCAAAGGAAUUGACGGGGGCCCGCACAAGCGGAGGAACAUGUGGUUUAAUUCGAUGAUACGCGAGGAACCUUACCCGGGCUUGAAAGUUAGCGACGAUUCUUGAAAGAGGAUUUCCCUUCGGGGCGCGAAACUAGGUGCUGCAUGGUUGUCGUCAGCUCGUGCCGUGAGGUGUCGGGUUAAGUCCCAUAACGAGCGCAACCCCUACCGUUAGUUGCCAUCAGGUCAAGCUGGGCACUCUGGCGGGACUGCCGGUGUAAGCCGAGAGGAAGGUGGGGAUGACGUCAAAUCAGCACGGCCCUUACGUCCGGGGCUACACACGUGUUACAAUGGGGGGUACAGAGGGCCGCUACCACGCGAGUGGAUGCCAAUCCCAAAAACCUCUCUCAGUUCGGACUGGAGUCUGCAACCCGACUCCACGAAGCUGGAUUCGCUAGUAAUCGCGCAUCAGCCAUGGCGCGGUGAAUACGUUCCC
rnacentral:rRNA from 1 species